UUUGAUUGGCUGUGCAUUUCCCUGCUAUCAUGUGAGAGGCUGUGGCUGCGUUCAGAUACAAGCAGCACCAAAUGCAGUGGAUUUUUUUCCCCGUGCAAGAAGGUGUGUUGGGUGUGGUGACACAUGUGAGGAUGGCGGCAGCAAAAAAAAAAGAAGCUGGACAUAAGGAGCUUUUUUUCAAAGAAAAGUGUGACAGAACCUAAACAACUGUACUGUGUAUCAGACAGUGAUGGAGAGAAGGGGUCACAGGGGACAGAAGCAGAUCAGCCAUGUUGUAGUUCAGGUGAAGAGGCAAGGUCACAGGAGGUGAAUCUGAAUGUUGAUUAUAUAUAACAUAUACUAUGUGUGUGUGUAUUAUACAUGUUGAUUAUACUAAUAUUUAACAUUAUGAGGAGUGAUAGGCUGAGGAUGUAAGUGAUUCAUUAGUGUUUUUGGCAAAAGUUUUGAAUUGACAUGUCUCACUUUUUUGUCACGCUAUUUCAUCAGGUGGCAAUCCUGUCAGGUACUAGUGCAGUCA